UUGCCCCCAAUCCAAAGGGACUGGCAUCGGUUACUAAAAGCAAAUACAAAUUAAAUACGCCAAGGUCCCAUACAAAAGGGUAAUCAUUUUUUGGCUCUCCGAAAACUAGAUUUAAUGAACCCUAUGCAUGGAUUUUGCUUGACAACUAACAAACACUGAAAAGUAAUAAGAAAUGGCAACACAUUUUGAUAAAUCCGAUCAGAGCAUGCCGUUUUUAAAUUUAAUAAAUAAUUGUUUUUGUUGACAUUUGUUUGUGUCUGUGCAGAUUUGUGGUUCGUUAUCCUUUAGUGGCCACUGGCCAGAAGUGAUUACGAUCCGACGUUGGCAGCCGAAACUGAGAUGGCAAAAGAAGCACAACCUACUCUUAGAAACAAGGAUGAACCGGAAAUCGGUGGCCUGUUCGGCACUCAACAAAAAACCACCCAACGUUGCCUCAACUGCAACACCGAAAGUGUCAAAAAUAACAUCCUGGUGUGCAAUCUCCUGUAUCCUACCAACAGCAACAACCGACAUGUCGAUGGAUCAUUUGCGUAAAUUUUGAAAAAUUAUAUGUCGUUGAAAAAACUACACCGUCCUGGUGUGAGAAGCGCAACUAGUUCAUCCCACUAAUCGAAAGAGUCGUGUGGCUGAUCUGCCGAAAAUUCUAUCGGUUAGCUGCGGUCUGGAGACGGACAAAGAACUUGAGUAUCUAGAAACAAAUGCCGCGGCCCUCUGCCCAAGUGUCUAGUGAUGGGGACUCGCGAAAUGGUGCAAACGUAAAUAAUGGGAGAAUAUGUCGUUACGGGAUGCAGUGCUCUCGGGUAGAUUGUCAUUUUUUCCAUCCGAGAAAACUCCCACCGUCGAAUGCGUCUAAUCAAGGUCAGCAGAAAUUAUGCUUCUCGCUAGGCUUCCGAAUAACAUUGGAUGAGAAGAAUUUGAAAACUGGAUCAUUGAAAACUGCUUCCAGCUGUUAUGAAGGUUCUGAUGCUCACGAAAGCUGCAAACUAAGCGAGUCAGAGCAUAUUCCGUAGUAGCAACAAUUUGAAAUCUUCUACAUAUCAGAUAUGCCGUUUCGAAAAUCGAAAAGUAUCGCUUGUCGGCGACCGUUUGCUACAUCAAUGACAGAACUCAGCGUAAUCAGGUAGCUUUGGUGCACAUACCAACGAGCUAUCAUGAUCUCAAAACGGAUCGAAGUGGAGGGGACUGGUACAUAUUCAAUGAUUUUAGUAUUUCCCCGGUGUCCGCGCAGGAAGCGAUUUGGUUUACACUGGAUUGGAAGGUUCCAUGCGUUCUGUUUUAUGCCAGUACCGCACUCAGGAACGAACAAGGAAAGAAUAAGUAAUAUUUGACUCAGUACGUAAAUCAAUUCACAAUUGAUCUGUUACCAUACUCCAGGGAAACCGAGGUGACAAACCGUUGGUUGAAAAAUAGAUCUUUCAAUCGGGUGAUUGGUGCCAAUGUAUGCUGAAUUUGUUACUUUGAAUCCAGAGGAGAGAGAAAUCCGGUCCGAUGGUAAAAUGUCCACCGUAAAACCUCGUCACAUGAGUGUUGCUAAGAUCACGUGUAUCCGCGGGCAAAGUAAACAUGAACGAGUUCCUUCGUCGAUGAUUACAUCUCCACUCAGGAGCAGAUUGUCGAUUAUCUGACAAAAUUCUUCGGAAUUAAACCAGGCGAUCUGGAUGCUAUCUUUAGCAACAAGAGACUGACGACGCUGAAAAAGUGUUAAUUUAUUAUUUAUGUGUUUUAGGGCCGAUUUCUUCACCCUCGCUUAACUUUUAAAUCAGGUUCACCAGUACGUUUAAACCUGGCUUAAGCGCUACGCGAGGGUGAAUAAAUCGGCCCUUAAUCAAUGGUUUGAAUAAAUCUAGAGAAAUCGGAAAACAAUAUGCUUUUAUUGCUUGCAAGCAAAAAUGUAAUUGAAAUCGUGGAAAUACAAACGUUUACUCGAUUGUGACUAUUGAAAAGUCAAGUGUAAUGACAAGAGAUUAUAACUACUAGUGGGAGCAAAGCGCUACUGUCUCCAUGUAUUUAAGGUCUGAAACAUGCGGUUUCGCCCUAGCAUAUUGUAUCCCAUUGCUUUGCAUUGCCGGGGCAAUAUGUGUC